GACGAACGCUGGCGGCGCGCUUAACACAUGCAAGUCGAACGGAAAGGCCCUGCUUUCGUUGUGUGCUCGAGGGGCUAACGGGUGAGAAACACGUGUAUCACCUGCCCUUGACUCUCGGAUAACUUCAGGAAACUUGGGCUACUACCGCUUAUGAGCUCCUGCUGCGUGGGGGGGGUUGGAUAGUUUCGGCGGUUGGUGAUGGACUUGGGGCUUAUCUGCCUGUUGGUGGGCUAGUGGCUUACCAAGGCUUUGACGGGUAGCCGGCCUGAGAGGGGGACCGGCCACAUUGGGACUGAGAUACGGCCCAGACGCAGACGGGAGGCAGCAGUGGGGAAUAGUGCACAAUGGGCGGGAGGCUGAGGCAGCAACGCCGCGUUCGGGAUGAUGGCCUUCGGGUUGUAAACCGCUUGCGCCUGUGACGAAGCGGGAGUGACGGUAAUGGGUAAAGAAGCACCGGCUAACUACGUG
rnacentral:rRNA from 1 species